rnacentral:misc_RNA from 1 species
AAGACUAUAGACCUGCGGAGUACCUGCGGAGGAUCAUUACCGAGUGCGGGCCCUCUGGGUCCAACCUCCCACCCGUGUUUAUUGUACCUUGUUGCUUCGGCGGGCCCGCCAUUCUGGCCGCCGGGGGGCUUGCCCCCGGGCCCGCGCCCGCCGAAGACACCCUCGAACUCUGUCUGAAGAUUGUAGUCUGAGUGGAAUUAUAAAUUAUUAAAACUUUUAACAAUGGAUCUCUAGAUCGGA